AGUGAACGCUGGCGGUAGGCUUAACACAUGCAAGUCGAACGGCAGCACAGUAAGAGCUUGCUCUUAUGGGUGGCGAGUGGCGGACGGGUGAGGAAUACAUCGGAAUCUACUUUUUCGUGGGGGAUAACGUAGGGAAACCUACGCUAAUACCGCAUAUGAUCUACGGGUGAAAGCAGGGGAUCUUUGGACCUUGCGCGAUUGAAUGAGCCGAUGUUGGAUUAGAUAGUUGGCGGGGUAAAGGCCCACCAAGGGGCCGAUCCGUAGCUGGAAUGAGAGGAUGAUCGGCCGCACUGGAACUGGAACACGGUCCAGACUCCUACGGGAGGCAGCAGUGGGGAAUAUUGGACAAUGGGGGCAAGCCUGAUCCAGCCAUACCGCGUGGGUGAAGAAGGCCUUCGGGUUGUAAAGCCCUUUUGUUGGGAAAGAAAAGCAGCAGGUUAAGACCCCGCUGUUCUGACGGUACCCAAAGAAUAAGCACCGGCUAACUUCGUG
rnacentral:rRNA from 1 species